AUGACUUUUAAUAACCCACUGGCUUUUCAGCUUCUGAAUAUAAGAGCAGUUUCCAGAGGAGCCAGAGUCAAGAGGAGCCCUAGGGGUGAUUCAGAGCAGCUGACUUGACUCCCGGCUGCAGCAUCUGCUCCAUAGAAAAGUAGUAAGCUGGGAAGGAUUGUUUUAAAACGAAGUGCAUUGGAGAAAAGUGAGAGUUCAAGGUAAUGACCCUUCUCUUUGGCUGGGAUGCUGGGGUACUCUGGGUUCUUCUAGGAGAUGUGAGGUAUACUUUUUCCUAUUGGGGACUGUCACUGGAGAAUCUCCUGUUGAAGAUUUUUUUCCUUGGGUUUGUGAUUGUCAAUUCUCAUAACUGAUCUUUCUGGCCUGCUGAUUCCAUUUGAUUGAAGUUUCCUUUUAUUAAUUUUCACCUAACACAGCAGUAAAAGGUCAUUUUACUGCUCUAUCUCUGCUCACAAUCCACUGUAGAAAAAAAAAGCAAGAGAGAGCGAGAGAAGGAGAAAUUUUAGAGUGGAAUUCCUUUGAGCAAAUUGAUGUUUUUUCCUGACUGAAAGAUUUUAGAUAACUUAUAUUUCUUGGCAAAUUGCAACUUACAGAAUGCACCAACACAUUCUAACAUAUUAUCCAACUUAUUUACUGUUAAAGCCAUACAUUAAUGCAGGAAAAGUUUUAAAAACUUUCAGAGAACUUAUAUCUUACCAUUUGUAUAGUAAUGAAUCAGGCAGGAAUUACUGUUUUUCCUAUAACACUGGUAAGAAAAUGGAGGCUUUGCCCGUAAGUUCCUUUUUCAAGGUUUCAGCAGACAGUAAGUGACUUGAACCCUCAGGUUGGAACCCUGGCAGCCCAACUCCAGAACUGUACUUGGACACCUCAGCAGCUUUCAGCCCCUCCAGCCCGACUCUUCCCCCGUUGCUGUGCUCCCUCUCAGUCGUUACUGCUUGGGCCUCCCAGCCUGCUCAUCUUCCUCUUGGGCUGUGUCCUCCCACUGCUGAAACCAGGGAAGGAAGUGUCACUUUCUCAGGCCAAAGCCAACUCUCCCCUUUCAUUCAGAAAUUACCCUCUCAGUUUUCA
ensembl:lncRNA